UACGGGGGGGGCAAGCGUUGUUCGGAAUUACUGGGCGUAAAGGGCUCGUAGGCGGCCAACUAAGUCAGACGUGAAAUCCCUCAGCUUAACCGGGGAACUGCGUCUGAUACUGGAUGGCUUGAGUUCGGGAGAGGGAUGCGGAAUUCCAGGUGUAGCGGUGAAAUGCGUAGAUAUCUGGAGGAACACCGGUGGCGAAGGCGGCAUCCUGGACCGACACUGACACUGAGGAGCGAAAGCCAGGGGAGCAAACGGG
rnacentral:rRNA from 1 species